AGUCUAGACAGUGAAAGCUGGUUCAGAAUGGGUCUAAAACGCGUUGGUGGAUUAUUUGGGUAUUAAGCUCAAGAAGCUGUGCAAACAGAACCUGUCAACUUCAGGUUAAUCUGAGAACAGACACGUCCAGGAGCCUUCAUCAAUCAUAUAGUGGACUGUAGGAUGAUAACACUUAAAACACCAUUUCCACUCAACAGCGUGGAAUAAAUUUGUAGUAGAAAUAUAAUCUGUCUUAACUGCAUAUACUUAUACUUUAGAAUUUAAUAUGAAUUAAUAUGAAAUCUUUUUUCUUUGUAAAUACUGAAAUUUAAUAUUUACAUUGUUUUAUGCACAGAUGCAGCAUUGCCCGUAACCAUUUUGUGCUAGCCCUGCAUGUCAUUGAGCAUUUAGUGAAUUUUCUGGGGACAAUAAUGGCUAAGAAUUUUAAACUUCACAUUGUUGUAUCUAUUAUUUUAACAUGCUCACUUGAGAAGCAUUGUGGCUGGUCAAUACCCAAUUGAAUACCCAAUACCCAUAAUUCCUUGAAGUUUAAUCAUUUAAUUGUGGUGUUUGGUCAAAGCAUGGACAAUUAUAAAUAUGUGUGUAUAAGUGGUAUAUUGAAUUAACAGGUCUUUGAGCUCUAAUUAAUAUUUUGAUUGUUUUAUUGUAAAGUUGUUGUUUUUGCA